AGAGUUAUAGAGCUCCUUCUGGGAUCCGUAAGUCCCCAGAUAUCAGAAGGGACACCAGCCUUUACAGUAAUGACAGCCAGAUUCCAGCUUUCGUAUGAAGCUACCAGCUGCCUUGGAAAGGACCCACAGAUAAGAGCCAGGUGCUGUCUGCAUCCUUCCAACUCAUGGUGACUUUGGGAAUGGCCAUCCAGAGGCUCAGGAGUGGAGAUGCUGCUGUCAGGCACGGAGGAGGUUCAAGAGUGCCUGGACUCCAGCACCCAAAAUGAGCAGGAAGGCCCAGAUGAAGAUUUCUGUCAGGACAUACUUUUGCUCUGAGAAGAGUAGCAAGUCUUGAACAGAGGUCAUGGGUUUCUUGAGGUGUCUGUUCCAGCUUCAUAAAUAUUAAGCAUUAUUUUUCACAUGUCUUAUACAUUUCUGUGUAAUCCCUGUAAUAUAAGGGCAGGAAGAAUUGUAUAUUCUUUAUAAAUGUGUGACAGAUACAAUUAGCCUUACUUUCUACAUGGGGAGACUGAGACUCGGAUGAGAAAAGUCAGUCUUUCAAGUCACACAUUUCAUCACCGGCAGAGUCUGGGGCAUGAGUUCCUAUCUCCUGAUUCCCAGGUACAUGCUGUUUUUGCUAGACUCAAAGUAUUAAAGAAUCCAGACUCUUUGGAAGUAAUGAGGGAUUCCAGAAAUAGCCUUAGCAGUGCUUAACAAUUUGAAAGACCAAAGGCACUGAGGCCAAAGAAGAUUGAGACAGGAUGGAAGUACUCUCUUGUUCAGUCAGCUGGAUGACUGAAAGGAAAUCCCUAAGAACAUUGUCCUAUUGCUCCACGAUCUAGUACUGGGUGAGCCUAUGCGUUCAUGAGACAGAAAGCAGGAUAAUUGAGGCCCUGCAUCUCUUGGUCAAACAGGUAAGACACCACAUGGUACAUUUUUGAAAUCUACUGAGUUUCACACAAGACGGGAAAAAUGAAAAGUUUGUAAUCACGUUAUACAGCUUCAAGUUUCUAGAAAAUUUAUAUACAUCGAAGUACAGAUUUAAAUGUUUAGGAGUUGGACUCUCCAAAAUUUUACA